rnacentral:lncRNA from 13 species
CUUUGGGGGGGGUCUCAAGACUUUUCAAACAUCCAGAGAAGCUAUAUAUGCAUAACAGUGUAAUGUCUCAUUUACUAAAAUUAUUUGCAUUAUGAAUGAUGUUGUUUAGUGAGUGGACAGUAUUAACAACAUUUUAAUAUUAUGUAAAAAUCCUUUUUCUACAGGGCAAAAGAUGAAGAAGAGUCUGUGGCUCAUGCAACCUUCCUGAAAAUCGAUUAUGUGAAGUAUCCACAGAGGGGUAAGGAUUGUGACAGGACAGAGAGGUUUGCAGUGUAGGUCUGGCUUUAUACCCUUACUUAAGAAGACAUCUUCUGGGUCCUCAAGGAUUGGAAGGAA